rnacentral:misc_RNA from 1 species
GAUGAAGAACGUAGCGAAAUGCGAUACUUGGUGUGAAUUGCAGAAUCCCGUGAACCAUCGAGUCUUUGAACGCAAGUUGCGCCCGAAGCCAUUAGGCCGAGGGCACGCCUGCCUGGGCGUCACACGUCGUUGCCCCCCCAUCUACUCCUUCGGGAUUGCGGGGGGCGGAUGAUGGCCUCCCGUGCGCCUUGUCGCGCGGUUGGCAUAAAUACCAAGUCCUCGGCGACGCACGCCACGACAAUCGGUGGUUGCGAAACCUCGGUUGCCUGUCGUGUGCGGUCGUCGCGCAUCGAGGGCUCGAAAAAAUUGCCGGGUUCCGGCUCGGCUUUCAACGCGACCCCAGGUCAGGCGGGGUUACCCGCUGAAUUUAAGCAUAUCAUAAGCGGAGGA